UGUUCUUUUAGAAAUCUGUUACCAAUUAGUGCACGUAAUUUACACUCUUCUCGUUUCAUAUCACAAACAAUUGUUCACUGAUGCAUUGGUUAUUCUGUUACCAACUUGAGCUAGGAUCAUUGGACAUCUCUUUGGACUUUGGCAUAUCUCUGCUCGCAUAUUCCCGAAAAUAACUUAAGUGGUUGCAAAACCUUAGCAUAAACAUAGAAUCUGCAGUUGACCCAAAUAAUGAUCAACCAGACAACACUGAGAAAUGUUGUCAUUAUUUAUGCCUUAUACACGGCUGAUCCUUCAGAUGGAUGACUUGCUUGAGAGAACAAUUCCAUCACCUCCAAAGAACUGAUUCGUAAUGUCUAUGUGUGAUAAUUAAACAAAUAAUAACUGCACUGACUUGACUUUCAUUUAUAGAGAGCAGGAUAAUGGCCCGUAGAAAAUUGUCGGUAGAAAAUGGCAGGAUAACUUGUUUCACUAGCGACUUAGCUGUUACUGACAGAGCAGGAUGGUGCAGAGAACUGGAAAUAGGUACCGGAGUGGUAACAAAAUUCCGAUAAUCCAACUUCAUCAGCCCUGGAAUCACUCUUCACAGCAGGACCAUACAGGACCUUGCUGAAGGAAAAAAGGAAAAAUCAGUAGUACGUACGUAGACGCAUGGCAUGCAUCAUUCUGUCCGUUCCUUCCUUCUUUUUCAGAUCAAAAGCAGGCCAAAAACUACCGUUCUUUCCCGGUCGGUCACCUCCUUUGAUUGCUGCUUUCUCAUUCCCUUCCCUGCUGCAACAGGCUCAACUCAUUGCCCCAUCACCGUUUGCACGUACUACUUGAUAAUGCUAGGCUAUCUCUCACUAGCUGCUACAGCCAGGGCUUAACAGCCCUAAGCUAUACACCAUCUUUUCCCCAUCAGAAACACUAUCUUAGGGGCAAAAAGACGAUGCAAAGGCUGGCUGGCCAUUGCAUGGUGCAUGUGUUUGUCCGUGUGAGAGAGGGGGUGACCCCAUGCCUGCCCUGCAUCAACCUUGUAGUUGGCACCGAAUCCCACUCUCCAAGGCGGCAGCGGCAGCUUCACCAUGACACAUCCAUCUCUUUCUUUCUUUGCUCCAUAUCGUCAUCAUCAUCAUCUCCUACCCCCCACUUGGCUUUCUUCCUUUUGGCUCUCAAAAGUUGCGGAUCCUUGGCUCUUCCCAAGGGAGGGAGUGUGUGUCUGUGUGCUUGGAGCCCACACACAAUAAGCUGCUGCUACUCUACUGCUAGUAGGAUUCUGCUACUGUUAGCUGGUCACUCCUCACUCGUCGUUGCAUUGCAUUGCUGCAUUUCCUACUGGGCUCUGAAUGAAAUCUGAACCUGCCUGGAUUUGAAAGAUAUCUGGAGGCCCCUUUGUGGCAGCGUCUUUGCGGCUUCUGAUUCCCUGCUUGUUAAAGAAAGAUACUCCGUAACAAUAUUUAGACCAAUCGUCCCGCGCUGGAUUCCUGCUGCUUUGACGGUUCUUGCAGGUGUGAAACCAAGCAGAGACUGAAUUGUUUGGGUGCUGGAGGUGAUUAUGGGGGAAUAAAGCGUGCUCUUGUCUUUGUGUUGGCACUGGCAGCAGAUCACAUUUCUAGCCGGCCUCCUUUUGUGGAUGCAUUGCUGGCUGUUUGGUUGGCUGAUGAAUUGAUUCACGGAAUACCUCGGCUAACACAUGUACUAGUACCAAAUAUAGAACUAUACAUUUGGAGAAUUAAAAGAUGCAAUGUUUCUCUCAUUU